CUUUAUCCUCUCAUCUAUACACUUUGGCCCAAUUAUUAUCCAUAAAUAUCUUGCCUCACUAAUUACCAUUUUUGACCUUUAUUAUCUUUACAAUUUCCAUGCAUGAAUCAUAUUUUAUUUAGUAAAAUUUCUUCCUAAUCCUUCCUUGUUUUCCAUCAAAUCCUAUGUUUCUAACUUAAAUUUUUAAUUUUCACUCUUUUUC
rnacentral:lncRNA from 1 species